UACAGAGGGUGCGAGCGUUAAUCGGAAUUACUGGGCGUAAAGCGUGCGUAGACGGUUAUUUAAGUCGGGUGUGAAAGCCCCGGGCUCAACCUGGGAAUUGCAUUCGAGACUGAAUAGCUAGGGUACGGUAGAGGGAAGCGGAAUUUCCGGUGUAGCGGUGAAAUGCGUAGAUAUCGGAAGGAACAUCAGUGGCGAAAGCGGCUUCCUGGUCCAGCACCGACGUUCAGGCACGAAAGCGUGGGGAGCAAACAGG
rnacentral:rRNA from 1 species